rnacentral:lncRNA from 1 species
UUUUAUGCCCCAUUUAUGGGCAUAAUGUUUUCUGGUCUAUGCGUCUGUUAGUUCGCCCGUUCGUUAGUCCCACUUUAGGUUAAAGUUUCCGGUCAAGGCAGUUUUUGAUGAAGUUGAAGUCCAAUCAACUUGAAACUCAGUGCACAUGUUCCUUAUGAUGCGAUCUUUCUAAUUUAAAUGCCAAAUUAGAGUUUUUAACUUAUGAGCAC